ACAGAAAUACACUUUGAGGAAACAGAGGAUACCCAACUAAGCUCCCUGGAGUCUGAAAGUGAUUCUGCUGAAGUGGGUGAUCAAAGAGAAACGUGUUUGAGCUCAGAACAACAUGAAUUGCUGUUGUCCUUUCUCAUUGACUCAGACUCAGCUGAUGAGGAAUAUGAACCUGAUAGUGAAGAAUCAGAAUAUGAGGAUGACUCAAUGAUGGACGAACUAGAUGCAAGCUUUCUAGAUGAUCCAGUCAUGGCAGAUGUUGCUUUCAAAGAAGCCCCAGAGAUUGUGACAGGCAGUAGAGAUGGUAAGAAACAUUUAACA